AUCGGAACCAUUUAUAUUUGAAUCUUUAUUUGAUGCUAGUAUAGCUUUAUUAUCGGUAUAUACUACUAAAGUUGUACGGCAAAUUUUAGGGAAUGUAUAUAAAUAUUAUAAAUGAUAGGUGAAAAGCCGCUUCCUUGGUGUAUUACAGCAUUGAUUUUUAGUGUGAAGGGAGUUAUAAUUAAUAUGAUGACUGUUAAAAAUUUGUCUUGAAGAAAUAAUUUUAGAAUGAGAAAAUAUUGAAUAGUUAGGAACGAUUUAAGGAUUUUAAGAACGAAGUUUGUGUGAUAUUGAGAAAAAAACCUUGAAAAUGUUUUUAUUUUCGAAUGAUAAUUAUAUUCUGUCAAUAACUCUAUAAAUUUGGUGAAUUCGAACGGAAAUCUAAUUGGUUAUUAGGUAAGAUUUUAUUUUCGUUUACGAUUGGCGUAAUUCUUUUAAGUAGUCAUUUUUGAAAAGAGUUUUCUUAAUAACGUUAUUAGGCUAACUGGACAACAUGAAGACACUAGGUAUUUUGGUUUUGCUGGUUUGAAGAUUAAAAUAAUAGUUGAGAAUUUCUAUAUUGGAGGUUUGUAAGAUAGAUUAAGCGUUGAAUUGUAAAUGUGAGUUAGAAAAAGGUUGUGUAAUAAUUGUUGAAGAAUUUUGUUGUCUAUUAUGUUGUGUUCUGUGGCUUUUUAACAUGUAGCUUUAUUUCAUAACGUGUGAUUGAAUUAGUCGAUAGUGACACAGGUAGUGGAUUGCUAAAGAAGGUUUGUACGUUUUGGGUAUAGGUAUGAUAUAUUUGGGUUAACGUCUGAUUAUGGUUGGAAAAAAGUUGGUUUCCAAAUAGAUUGGU